GCAGCAUGAUCUAGCUUGCUAGAUUGAUGGCGAGUGGCGAACGGGUGAGUAAUACAUCGGAACGUGCCCUGUAGUGGUGGAUAACUAGUCGAAAGAUUAGCUAAUACCGCAUACGACCUGAGGGUGAAAGUGGGGGACCGCAAGGCCUCAUGCUAUAGGAGCGGCCGAUGUCUGAUUAGCUAGUUGGUGAGGUAAAGGCUCACCAAGGCGACGAUCAGUAGCUGGUCUGAGAGGACGAUCAGCCACACUGGGACUGAGACACGGCCCAGACUCCUACGGGAGGCAGCAGUGGGGAAUUUUGGACAAUGGGCGAAAGCCUGAUCCAGCAAUGCCGCGUGUGUGAAGAAGGCCUUCGGGUUGUAAAGCACUUUUGUCCGGAAAGAAAUGGCUCUGGUUAAUACCUGGGGUCGAUGACGGUACCGGAAGAAUAAGGACCGGCUAACUACGUGCCAGCAGCCGCGGUAAUACGUAGGGUCCAAGCGUUAAUCGGAAUUACUGGGCGUAAAGCGUGCGCAGGCGGUUGUGCAAGACCGAUGUGAAAUCCCCGAGCUUAACUUGGGAAUUGCAUUGGUGACUGCACGGCUAGAGUGUGUCAGAGGGGGGUAGAAUUCCACGUGUAGCAGUGAAAUGCGUAGAGAUGUGGAGGAAUACCGAUGGCGAAGGCAGCCCCCUGGGAUAACACUGACGCUCAUGCACGA
rnacentral:rRNA from 1 species